GGGUUGCUGCUCAGUGGUAGAGCACUCGCCUAGUAUGUGUGAGGCCCUGGGUUUGAUCCUCAGCACCACA
rnacentral:tRNA from 1 species